CCAGUGCCUUUCACUGAACUACUUGACGCGGUGCAGCUGAUCUCCCAUGACCGACCCCACAAAGCCAGUCAUUCCUCCAUUUUCCCCGAGGGACAUAGUGAGGACUCCCAUAUUAAGGAGAUCUCAACAGUGAAGAUAACUAGCAGAGAAACUUACUGUUGCCAUGUUGUAUUGGUGACCUCCAGACUCACCAGCUCAUAGGAAGACUGGUGUAUGGGUAAGAGCCCAUUCUUGGUUUAAAUUCCAGCACUUGAUCGUGACCUACAUUAUAAAGGUAAUACAAUACAUGUUCCCUCAGCUGACUGCUAAGCCCAUCUCUUCUCUUUUCAUAUGGUACACUUUUCUAGACAGAGAAGCAGAGCACCCUAGAAGGCACACCCAUGGA
rnacentral:lncRNA from 1 species